AUGCCAUGGUGUGGGCAUGCUGUAAUGUAUUCCUGGAGAUGUUCCUAGGCUUCCGGGACUGUUUUGUCUUGGAGUUGUUGAAAACUAGAAAUCCUGUUCCGAAGGGU